GACGAACGCUGGCGGCGUGCUUAACACAUGCAAGUCGAACGGAAAGACCCUGCUUUUGUGGGGUGCUCGAGUGGCGAACGGGUGAGUAACACGUGAGUAACCUGCCCUUGACUUUGGGAUAACUUCAGGAAACUGGGGCUAAUACCGGAUAGGAGCUCCUGCUGCAUGGUGGGGGUUGGAAAGUUUCGGAGGUUGGGGAUGGACUCGCGGCUUAUCAGCUUGUUGGUGGGGUAGUGGCUUACCAAGGCUUUGACGGGUAGCCGGCCUGAGAGGGUGACCGGCCACAUUGGGACUGAGAUACGGCCCAGACUCCUACAGGAGGCAGCAGUGGGGAAUAUUGCACAAUGGGCGGAAGCCUGAUGCAGCAACGCCGCGUGCGUGAUGACGGCCUUCGGGUUGUAAACCGCUUUCGCCUGUGACGAAGCGUGAGUGACGGUAAUGGGUAAAGAAGCACCGGCUAACUACGUG
rnacentral:rRNA from 1 species